rnacentral:lncRNA from 1 species
GUGAAUCAGAAUUAAGAGUUGGAGGUAGAAAUCAGGACUUGGGCACUGGACGUGGUGUAAUAGUGAGAGGCAUUUGCCUUAGACCACCUUCUGUUGCUAAAAUUACAACUCAUGGGGUGAGGUGUUUUGGGGGCUCCUGUGUGUGUGUGUGUGUGUGUGUGUGUGUGUGUGUGUGUGUUUUCUUUUGAAUGGCUUGCUUUGGUUAGAGAUUUUGGUGUGAGAUCCUGGGACCAAAUUAGCAAGGGAUAGGUAGCAAGAUAGACCUAGCCAAACUUGUUUUAUGAGCAGUCUCACUUUGCAGAUAAACAGUUAAUUUAAUAAUUGUUUUUAUGGAAUUAGUGCAUUUAUGAUGGCAUUUAUAAAGGCCCUACAUCCGCCCAUGGAAGACCUCACUCUCCAUGGGGAGCAGAACUGGGAUAGAGCCUUCAACGAGUAGCUGAUGGAAGCAGAAGCAGACACUCACCUAAGAAUUGAGCUGAAGUCUGGAAUCCAGUUAUAGAGAGGGAGGAGUAAUCAGCAAAGGGGGCAAGACCAAGCUGGGGAGACCCACAGAAACAGCUGACCUGAACAAGGGGGAGCUCAUAGACCCCAGACUGACAGCUGGGGAACCAGCAGAGAACAUAACCAGACAGUCACAGCAAAUCAGAGAUGAAAUUUAACUUUUUGGUAUUUGUUGUUUUCAUUAUUUUUUAUCUUUCUGUGCAGGUUUUAAAAACGCUAGUUAGUGCUGUGUGCCUCUAACCCCAAGCCCAAGCAAGAGUGUGAGUUCCAGGACCAUCAAGAAACCCAAAUAAUUACCACCACAACAACAAAAUAGUUGACACUUUGGAUCACCUUUCAGCGACCAAGAACUUUCCUUUUUGCUAAAUAAAUCCUCUUUGUUUUGCU